rnacentral:rRNA from 1 species
UACAGAGACUGCAAGCGUUAUUCGGAUUCACUGGGCGUAAAGGGUGCGCAGGCGGUUUGGUGUGUCAGGUGUGAAGGCCCGGGGCUUAACCCCGGAAUUGCGCCUGAAACUACAUGACUAGAGCAUUGGAGAGGAUAGCGGAAUUCCUGGUGUAGCGGUGAAAUGCGUAGAUAUCAGGAGGAACACCUGCGGUGUAGACGGCUAUCUGGACGGUUACUGACGCUGAGACACGAAAGCGUGGGUAGCAAACAGG